GGCAAACCCUCCAAGACCUCCCAUGAAUCCAAAACCAUUGUGAGGAAAAGGAUUUGGUUCUGGGGGAGGACCUGCUGCUUCAGGUCUCUGUCCCGCAGGACGAUUAGGAAUAUUAAUUCCAGGAAUACUUUUUGAUCUUGGGUCAGUUGAUGUCUUACCCCUACCAUAUAAAGGAACCAAUUUUUGCUCUUCUAUGAUAGCCUUGCAAACUGGACAUUCCUGGGGAUGGGAAUGAAUAUGCAGCCACUUAUAAAGGCAUGGCCAACAGAAAAGAUGACCGCAAAGGGUUACAAUAGGAUCUUGAGCUAAAUCCAGGCAAAUAUUGCACUCAAAAUUACUGGCAUCACCAUUGUUGUCGGAACAAGAAGGGCUUUGAGGUUGCCUACUUGUCGAUUCCCCAAACCCGCUCGCCAUAUCUACACACCCCACCUAGUGAUUAAGUAGAACAAACCGGCCGAUCCUGCGUUCCGAUGCCGAUCAAAAAGCAA
rnacentral:misc_RNA from 1 species